GUUUGAUCCUGGCUCAGAGCGAACGUUAGCGGCAGGCUUAACACAUGCAAGUCGAGCGAGAAAGGGGCUUCGGCUCCGAGUAAAGCGGCGGACGGGUGCGUAACACGUGGAUAAUCUGCCUCGUGGCGGGGGACAACAGUCCGAAAGGACUGCUAAUACCGCAUGUCAGGUCGGAAACUCCGGUUUCUGACGAAAAAGAGGGCGCCCGCAAGGGGCUCUCACCACGAGAUGAGUCCGCGUCCCAUCAGCUAGUUGGCGGUGUAAUAGACCACCAAGGCUUAGACGGGUAGCUGGUCUGAGAGGAUGACCAGCCACACUGGGACUGAGACACGGCCCCAGACUCCUACGGGAGGCAGCAGUGGGGAAUAUUGGACAAUGGGCGAAAGCCUGAUCCAGCCAUGCCGCGUGAGUGAUGAAGGCCUCGGUC
rnacentral:rRNA from 1 species